rnacentral:rRNA from 1 species
UACGGAGGAUGCGAGCGUUAUCCGGAUUUAUUGGGUUUAAAGGGUGCGCAGGCGGCACGGCAAGCCGACGGUCAAAUCGCGGGGCUCAACCCCGCCCAGCCGUCGGAACUGCCGGGCUAGAGUGGGCGAGAAGUGCGCGGAAUGCGUGGUGUAGCGGUGAAAUGCAUAGAUAUCACGCAGAACUCCGAUUGCGAAGGCAGCGCACCGGCGCCCUACUGACGCUCAGGCACGAAAGCGUGGGUAUCGAACAGG